rnacentral:RNase_P_RNA from 1 species
GGAGCCGGUGAGGUGGUCGCGGGUUCGUUCCGCGAGGAACGGUUCUGAGGAAAGUCCGAGCUCCCUAGGGCAGGGUGCUGGGUAAUCCCCAGUGGGAGCGAUCCCCAGGAAAGUGCCACAGAAAACAGACCGCCAGGACCCGUGCGGCUGCGGCCGCCGCGGGUUCGGGUAAGGGUGAAACGGUGAGGUAAGAGCUCACCAGCGCCCGCGGUGACGCGGGCGGCUCGGCAAACCCCACUCGGAGCAAGACCGCAUAGGGGAGGAGAGGUGGCCCGCCUCGCGUUCACUCCCGGGUAGGUCGCUCGAGGCGCUCGGCAGCGAGCGUCCCAGAGAAAUGAUCACCGCGGAUCCGCCACGGAUCCGAACAGAACUCGGCUUACGGCUGGCUCCGAUC